GAUAUCUAACACAGAGGUAACAAAAUAGUUGAUGUAUUCCUUCCUCUUGCUGUAAAUGUUGUUGCUCAUACCUCUUUCUCCUGCAUAAUAUUAUGAGAGAGUUUAAUACACAUGUGAGAAUCUAAUUUUCCCUUAUUUUUAGGAAAGUCCACGUUCUUCGACAUCAAGAAUUCCGCUUGCUGAGCCACAAAAUGGAAAUACCACCAGAUCAGCUAGUGACAAUGUAAAAUUGUCUCCUCAAGAAACACUUACAAGAGAUCCAGAUGCUAUCUUAAUAACUCAUACACCACAAAAUGAAGAUCCAGAAUUGAAGAACCUGCGAGAUCCUACUCUCACACGGCAUACAGAGCAGUUCUACCUAGCUUGGGCUGAUAGACGAAAGCGUGCCCACUCAUUUCCUGUUUUCAAGCCAAGUUUCUUGCAAGUGUCAUAGAGGAAAUGUGAAACAGUCAACUUGAUGUUCAGGGCUCAUUCCUUUUUUUCUGUUUCACUGGUCUCAGAAAUUACAUCUGAAGAAGUUGCCAUCAAGUAAUCAUUACAUAAUAUGCAUAAGUAUUUUCAGAAGAUAUACUGAAUGUUCUGUUUUAUCCAUUAAUUUUAACAUUGUUGAUCUAUAUCUGUUCAGAAGAAAAUAUGAU